AUGGCGGAACCUGAUUGGUCCACUUGUCAGAUGGUGAUUGGUGGGAGCAAAAUCCCCUAAUCAGAGAGGUUAAGAGAAUUGGAGAGGAGAAAGGAGAGGGAGAGGGGAACAGAAAUGCAAAGGAGAAGGGAGAGGGAGGGGGGGAUAGAAUUGAAGACGGCAAGGGGAACGGUCCCGUUCAAGAGAAUUCAUUUAAUGGAGAGAAGAGUAAUGCAAAGGAGAUGGAAGAGGAGAAAGGGAACGGUAAUGUGCCUGUGAAUGUAGGACAUGGUUUUGAUGGUGAGGAUAGAAUUGGAGACGGCAAGGGGAACGGUCCCAUUCAAGAGAGUUCAUUUAAUGGAGAGAAGAGUAAUGCAGAGGAGAUGGAAGAGGAGAAAGGGAAUUGUAAUGUGCUUGUGAAUGUAGGACAUGGUUCUGAUGGUGAGGAUAGAAUUAGAGACGGGAAGGGGAAUGGUCCUGUUCAAGAGAAUUCAUUUAAUGGAGAGAAGAGUAAUGUAGAGGAGAUGGAAGAGAAGAAAGGGAAUGGUAAUGUGCCUGUGAAUGUAGGACAUGGUUCUGAUGGUGAGGGAAAAGAGAUUUCCUAUGAUUCUUAAGAUGAACCGGUUACCCCAGUAGAGCUGUGUACUUGCAAGUGGAUUAUGUUAACAUCUGGAGGCCAAAGUACAUUCGUAGGUUUCGAGAACCGUUGCUCUAGUUUUUCAUGGAUAAUGCGUCGCGAAGACUCUGGAGUCUAGAGACUGAUCACACUAUGCUUAGUUUUGAUGGCGAUCGUGUGAAGCUGAAUUUAUGUAGGAUGGUUGCAAGUUGUGUUGGACAGGUUUGUGAUCAGUAUGUUAGAGUUGCUUCUAAAAUAUAUGAGAAGGUGUGGGAGAAGCAAUUUGCUGGUAAGAGUAGGCGAUUCAUGCUAGAUCUGUCAUUUGGAUUAAGUACAAGUUCCUUCUUCGUGGCAGCUUAUUGGGAGCCAAGUAUUAUUAUUAGCAGCCAUGCUAUUUGUAAGGUAGUUAGUCGAAUUUAAUUGUUGUGCUGGUGUGCAGAUUAUGGUCCUGAAUGCUAACGGACACCUAGAUAGAGUUGCUAAGAUUUUGAAAGCUUACUGCAAAAAACAUGAGGGAAAUGCCCCCUAGUAGAGUCAAUGUGGUAUUACUCGUGUUUGACAUAUAUGAAUUUGCAAUUGUUGUUGAGGGUUGCUAAAUGGUUUCUGUUUUUUGGUUUCUUAAUAAAGGUCUUUGUCCCGGUUGUUCGUGAUGGGCAUUGGUGGUGUGUUGCAUUCUCGAUGAACAGGGAGGAGGUUAUUGUCAUUGACUCAAUUGAGACUAAAAACGCAUGUGAAAGCAAGAGUCUUGAGAAACAGCUGUGGAGUCCACAUGAUCAUAGCAAUAAAAGGGAAUACUGGCAAAUUCCUUAAAGUUAUGCCUCCUGUAAGACAAAUCCUCGUUUUGUGUACACAAGCUGUAUGUUGUGUCUGAUUUCGUGACUUUCUUAUUGUAUUCGAGGUUGCUGAUAUGUUGUUGUAGAGAUCAUGGGUCCUAUGUGAAGAUCUACUGUCGGAAUUUAAUCAAUUACGCGAGAAUGUCCUUGACCUCAUCAAACCGCUAGUUUUGUAAUCCUAUCUUUGUCUACCACUUUGGCCAUUUAUUUAUGAACUUACAUAUCUAUUUUGCCUCUUGGCCACCAUGUACAUGUUCAUAUCGAUGUUCAUAUUGGCCACCAUCGGGAAUAGUUGAUUUUUUUUACUUCCCCAACUCCAAAUGUAAGAAAUUUAUCUUUUGUUCCAAGUACAUAUAUACAUAUUUAAAGCA